UGGAUUAGGCAUGCAAGUCGAGCGAAUCCCAGCAAUGGGGGAAGCGGCGAAAGGGGCAGUAAGGCAUGGGUAACCUACCCUGGGGACUGGGAUAGCCCUUCGAGAGAAGGGGUAAUACCGGGCGAUGAGCGAGCAGGGCAUCCUGUUUUCUCCAAAUGAGUUUCGCCCUGGGAGGGGCCCAUGUGAUAUUAGCUAGUUGGUGAGGUAACGGCUCACCAAGGCGAAGAUGUCUAGCGGGUGUGAGAGCACGACCCGUGCCACUGGCACUGAGACACUGGCCAGACACCUACGGGUGGCUGCAGUCGAGGAUCUUCGGCAAUGGGCGCAAGCCUGACCGAGCGACGCCGCGUGGGCGAUGAAGGCCUUCGGGUUGUAAAGCCCUGUCGAGAGGGAGAAAGGGAAACUUGAUCUAUCUCUGGAGGAAGCACGGGCUAAGUUCGUGCCAGCAGCCGCGGUA
rnacentral:rRNA from 1 species